CGGGGUGCACCAGGCGCGAAAACUUUACAAUGCUGGAAACAGCGAUAAGGGGACCUCGAGUGCCAGGUUACAAAUCUGGCUGUCGUGAUGCCUAAAAAGCAUUGCAUAGCAAGGGCCGGGCAAGACCGGUGCCAGCCGCCGCGGUAACACCGGCGGCUCGAGUGGUAACCGUUAUUAUUGGGUCUAAAGGGUCUGUAGCCGGCCGGAUAAGUCUCUUGGGAAAUCCAGCAGCUCAACUGUUGGGCUUUCAGGAGAUACUGUCUGGCUCGAGGCCGGGAGAGGUGAGAGGUACUUCAGGGGUAGGGGUGAAAUCUUGUAAUCCUUGAAGGACCACCAGUGGCGAAGGCGUCUCACCAGAACGGACCUGACGGCAAGGGACGAAAGCUAGGGGCACGAACCGGAUUAGAUACCCGGGUAGUCCUAGCCGUAAACGAUACUCGCUAGGUGUCGGCCACGGUGCGACCGUUGUCGGUGCCGUAGGGAAGCCGUGAAGCGAGCCACCUGGGAAGUACGGCCGCAAGGCUGAAACUUAAAGGAAUUGGCGGGGGAGCACAAGGGCGAAUUG
rnacentral:rRNA from 1 species